rnacentral:rRNA from 1 species
UGGGGAAUUUUGGACAAUGGGGGAAACCCUGAUCCAGCCAUCCCGCGUGUGCGAUGAAGGCCUUCGGGUUGUAAAGCACUUUUGGCAGGAAAGAAACGUCAUGGGUUAAUACCCCGUGAAACUGACGGUACCUGCAGAAUAAGCACCGGCUAACUACGUGCCAGCAGCCGCGGUAAUACGUAGGGUGCAAGCGUUAAUCGGAAUUACUGGGCGUAAAGCGUGCGCAGGCGGUUCGGAAAGAAAGAUGUGAAAUCCCAGAGCUCAACUUUGGAACUGCAUUUUUAACUACCGGGCUAGAGUGUGUCAGAGGGAGGUGGAAUUCCGCGUGUAGCAGUGAAAUGCGUAGAUAUGCGGAGGAACACCGAUGGCGAAGGCAGCCUCCUGGGAUAACUAUGACGCUCAUGCACGAAAGCGUGGGGAGCAAACAGG